UACGUAGGGGGCAAGCGUUGUCCGGAAUCAUUGGGCGUAAAGAGCGUGUAGGUGGCUAGGUAAGUCCGCUGUGAAAGUCCAGGGCUCAACCCUGGAAAGCCGGUGGAAACUGUCGAGCUCGAGUCCGGAAGAGGCGAGUGGAAUUCCUGGUGUAGCGGUGAAAUGCGCAGAUAUCAGGAGGAACACCAAUGGCAAAGGCAGCUCGCUGGGACGGUACUGACACUGAGACGCGAAAGCGUGGGGAGCAAACAGG
rnacentral:rRNA from 1 species